UGAGAGCUGUUUAUGGGCCUUUGGCUCC
rnacentral:piRNA from 1 species